GACGCCGUGGCUCAAAGCGAGCACAAAGCGCAUGUCUAGUAAACAGGAGAUCACGAGUUCGAAUCUCGUCGGUGCCU